rnacentral:rRNA from 1 species
AGUGAACGCUGGCGGUAGGCCUAACACAUGCAAGUCGAACGGCAGCACAGUAAGAGCUUGCUCGUACGGGUGGCGAGUGGCGGACGGGUGAGGAAUACAUCGGAAGCUACUUUUUCGUAGGGGAUAACGUAGGGAAACUUACGCUAAUACCGCAUACGACCUACGGGUGAAAGCAGGGGGUCUUCGGACCUUGCGCGAUUGAAUGAGCCGAUGUCGGAUUAGCUAGUUGGCGGGGUAACGGCCCACCAAGGCGACGAUCCGUAGCUGGUCUGAGAGGAUGAUCAGCCACACUGGAACUGAGACACGGUCCAGACUCCUACGGGAGGCAGCAGUGGGGAAUAUUGGACAAUGGGCGCAAGCCUGAUCCAGCCAUACCGCGUGGGUGAAGAAGGCCUUCGGGUUGUAAAGCCCUUUUGUUGGGAAAGAAAAGCAGCAGGUUAAUACCCCGCUGUUCUGACGGUACCUAAAGAAUAAGCACCGGCUAACUUCGUG